rnacentral:rRNA from 1 species
UACGAAGGGGGCUAGCGUUGCUCGGAAUCACUGGGCGUAAAGGGUGCGUAGGCGGGUCUUUAAGUCAGGGGUGAAAUCCUGGAGCUCAACUCCAGAACUGCCUUUGAUACUGAGGAUCUUGAGUUCGGGAGAGGUGAGUGGAACUGCGAGUGUAGAGGUGAAAUUCGUAGAUAUUCGCAAGAACACCAGUGGCGAAGGCGGCUCACUGGCCCGAUACUGACGCUGAGGAGCGAAAGCGUGGGGAGCGAAUAGG